AGUUAAUCAGCCGGCGCUGGAAGUGGCAGCUGCACCUACCAAGCCAGGGCUAACAGGUCAGGCCUUAGAAGAAGCAUUCCCGACCUUUGCUCAUGGGAAAAUCGUGGAUAGAUGUGAGUGUGGAGUAUGUUUAGAGGAAUUCAAAGAAGGAGACAAGUGCAGGAUGCUUCUUCCUUCUUGCAGCCAUAUGUUCCCUGACGCUUGCAUUGAUCCAUGGCUUUCUAAGGAUAAUACCUGCCCAAUUUGUCGUGUCGUUUUGUUCUAGUGGCUUCAGUUGUUUUUUUUGUUGCCAUAGUCCUUGGUAGCUUAGUUACAG
rnacentral:misc_RNA from 1 species